UACACGCUCGGGCGGCUGUCACCGCCAGUCUACUGUACUGCAUGGACAACACUGCAUGGACACAGCCUAGCCACUGCUGAAGCAACUCAAGCCCCAGUACAGUGUGCAUAAGUUUUAGGCCUGGGAGCCUGGGAGACAUACUAUACAGAGAGAGACAAUUGGGAAGAUGACUUGCCAGACAGAAUGCAAGUCAACUAUCACACACAGGACAAUCAAAACAGUAGCUAGGUAACUGUGAUUGUGACGCUCAUACCUAUAUAUAGCUAUAUACUCUCUGGUGUAGUCCAUAUCCAUACUCUUGUUUGUUUCCCACCAAUUUCAUGGUAUUAUGCUAGUACAUUGUGACAUUAAGUUAAAAUGUUUGCAAUGCGUGUGUAUUGAUUUUUUGAAUUGGUUAUUAUUCUUACAUCAUUAAUUUUGAGAUCUACCAUUCAUACGAA